UAGUCUCAAUGGGGACGUUUCAACUUAAAACACUAGUUUAAAUUAAAAAGGCGCAGUAUUCUGCGCCUUUUUU
rnacentral:sRNA from 1 species